rnacentral:rRNA from 1 species
ACCCCACUGCUAUCGGGAUGGGACUAAGACAUGCUAGUCGAGCGUCUCCAAGCUAUGGAAGAGACGCGGCACACAGCUCAGUAACACGUGGCUAACCUGCCCUUGGGACAAGGACAACUCCGGGAAACUGGGGCUAAUCCCUGAUAAGUGAGAACUCCUGGAAUGGAUUCUCGCUCAAAGGACGUUUAGACCAUGCUUCUAGGCGUCGCCCAAGGAGGGGGCCGCGACCGAUCAGGUUGUUGGUGAGGUAACGGCUCACCAAGCCUUUAACCGGUACGGGCCGUGAGAGCGGAAGCCCGGAGAUGGGCACUGAGACAAGGGCCCAGGCCCUACGGGGCGCAGCAGUCGCGAAAACUCCGCAAUACACGAAAGUGUGACGGGGCCAUCCCGAGUGCCAUCCGCUGAGGAUGGCUUUUCCCCAGUGUAUAAAGCUGGGGGAAUAAGGAGAGGGCAAGCCUGGUGUCAGCCGCCGCGGUAAUACCAGCUCUCCGAGUGGUGGGGAUGUUUAUUGGGCCUAAAGCAUUCGUAGCCUGCUUGGCAAGUCCUCCGUUAAAUCCAACGAUUCAAUCGUUGGGCUGCGGGGGAUACUGUCCAGCUAGGGGGCGGGAGAGGCCGACGGUAUCCUCGGGGUAGGGGUGAAAUCCUAUAAUCCCGGGAGGACCACCAGUGGCGAAGGCUGUCGGCUAGAACGCGCUCGACGGUGAGGGAUGAAAGCUGGGGGAGCGAACCGGAUUAGAUACCCGGGUAGUCCCAGCUGUAAACGAUGCAGGCUAGGUGUUGGCGCGGCUACGUGCCGCUCCAGUGCCGCAGGGAAGCCGUUAAGCCUGCCGCCUGGGAAGUACGGCCGCAAGGCUGAAACUUAAAGGAAUUGGCGGGGGAGCACCACAAGGUGUGAAGCUUGCGGUUUAAUUGGAGUCAACGCCGGG